UACGUAGGGGGCAAGCGUUGUCCGGAAUCAUUGGGCGUAAAGAGCGCGUAGGCGGCCCAGUAAGUCCGCUCUGAAAGUCAGGGGCUCAACCCCUGAAUGCGGGUGGAUACUGCUGGGCUAGAGUCCGGAAGAGGCGAGUGGAAUUCCUGGUGUAGCGGUGAAAUGCGCAGAUAUCUGGAGGAACACCGGUGGCGAAGGCGACGUCCUGGACCGGCAUUGACGCUGAGGCGCGAAAGCCAGGGGAGCAAACGGG
rnacentral:rRNA from 1 species